rnacentral:rRNA from 2 species
GGGUUGUGAGGUUAAGCGACUAAGCGUACACGGUGGAUGCCCUGGCAGUCAGAGGCGAUGAAGGACGUGCUAAUCUGCGAAAAGCGUCGGUAAGGUGAUAUGAACCGUUAUAACCGGCGAUGUCCGAAUGGGGAAACCCAGUGCAAUUCGUUGCACUAUCGUUAACUGAAUACAUAGGUUAACGAGGCGAACCGGGGGAACUGAAACAUCUAAGUACCCCGAGGAAAAGAAAUCAACCGAGAUUCCCCCAGUAGCGGCGAGCGAACGGGGAGCAGCCCAGAGUCUGAAUCAGCUUGUGUGUUAGUGGAACGGUCUGGAAAGUCCGACGGUACAGGGUGAUAGUCCCGUACACCAAAAUGCACAGGCUGUGAACUCGAAGAGUAGGGCGGGACACGUGGUAUCCUGUCUGAAUAUGGGGGGACCAUCCUCCAAGGCUAAAUACUCCUGACUGACCGAUAGUGAACCAGUACCGUGAGGGAAAGGCGAAAAGAACCCCGGCGAGGGGAGUGAAAAAGAACCUGAAACCGUGUACGUACAAGCAGUGGGAGCACCUUCGGGUGUGACUGCGUACCUUUUGUAUAAUGGGUCAGCGACUUAUAUUCUGUAGCAAGGUUAACCGUAUAGGGGAGCCGCAGGGAAACCGAGUCUUAACUGGGCGUUAAGUUGCAGGGUAUAGACCCGAAACCCGGUGAUCUAGCCAUGGGCAGGUUGAAGGUUGGGUAACACUAACUGGAGGACCGAACCGACUAAUGUUGAAAAAUUAGCGGAUGACUUGUGGCUGGGGGUGAAAGGCCAAUCAAACCGGGAGAUAGCUGGUUCUCCCCGAAAGCUAUUUAGGUAGCGCCUCGUGAACUCAUCUUCGGGGGUAGAGCACUGUUUCGGCUAGGGGGUCAUCCCGACUUACCAACCCGAUGCAAACUACGAAUACCGAAGAAUGUUAUCACGGGAGACACACGGCGGGUGCUAACGUCCGUCGUGAAGAGGGAAACAACCCAGACCGCCAGCUAAGGUCCCAAAGUCAUGGUUAAGUGGGAAACGAUGUGGGAAGGCACAGACAGCCAGGAUGUUGGCUUAGAAGCAGCCAUCAUUUAAAGAAAGCGUAAUAGCUCACUGGUCGAGUCGGCCUGCGCGGAAGAUGUAACGGGGCUAAACCAUGCACCGAAGCUGCGGCAGCGACACUAUGUGUUGUUGGGUAGGGGAGCGUUCUGUAAGCCUGCGAAGGUGACCUGUGAGGGUUGCUGGAGGUAUCAGAAGUGCGAAUGCUGACAUAAGUAACGAUAAAGCGGGUGAAAAGCCCGCUCGCCGGAAGACCAAGGGUUCCUGUCCAACGUUAAUCGGGGCAGGGUGAGUCGACCCCUAAGGCGAGGCCGAAAGGCGUAGUCGAUGGGAAACAGGUUAAUAUUCCUGUACUUGGUGUUACUGCGAAGGGGGGACGGAGAAGGCUAUGUUAGCCGGGCGACGGUUGUCCCGGUUUAAGCAUGUAGGCUG